rfam:Pteropus alecto contig54421, whole genome shotgun sequence.
CUCUGUUUAGUCAUGCUACCCUGAACAAGCCCAAUUCCGUCUGAUCUCGGAAGCUAAGCAGGGUCGGGCCUGCUUAGUACUUGGAUGGGAGACCACCUAGGAAGACCAGGUGCUGCAGGCG